UCGGUCAGUCUAUUGGCUUAGGUGCUUC
rnacentral:piRNA from 1 species